CUUUGUCAACGGUAAAGUUGACGUCAUAUGAAAACUCACGAAUAUAGUGACAAUAAACUUCCGAAAUGCUUCUGAGACAAACAUGUGCCUAAAGGAGGAAACACAGACACUUUCAAAAAAUCCAGGGAGCGAGGAUACUGUGAGGAUGAUGUGCAAAGGCCCGGGACUAAAUAGGUGAAGCAUGGCUCCUUCAAGAGACCAGCACUGCUGAAGAUCAGAGAGGGAGAGAGAGAGCACUGGAGAUGAAGCUGAAGACACUGGCAAAAGCCAGACCCUGCAAGCCUCUCUGGACCAAAUGAAGGCUUCCAUCCUAAGAGCAAUGAGGGAAUCUAUUAGUCAGCUUGGGCUGUCAUAAAAAAAAAUACCAGAAACCAGAACCACAGAAUCGUGACUGUCGCAGGGCUCAUGGGCACAAGCACAUAUGGCUCUCUCUGAAAGAAGUUGUGCAUGCCUCAAGUCCCAAAUGUGCUAAUAAAAACAUCCUGCUCUCUAAGUAAGCUUAGUGGGCACUUAUUUAAAAAAUUGUUUUUGUCCCUUUGUUCGGUUCCUCUCCUUGCACAGCAUAUUAAAAUCUCCAGUGAGACUUAAUUUUCUGAAGUCUAAGAGAAAUUUUCCCAAUGGAUUAUUUUAUA